rnacentral:rRNA from 1 species
GAUCCUGGCUCAGGAUGAACGCUAGCUACAGGCUUAGCACGUGCAAGUCGAGGGGCAGCAUGGUCUUAGCUUGCUAAGGCCGAUGGCGACCGGCGCACGGGUGAGUAACACGUAUCCAACCUGCCGUCUACUCUUGGACAGCCUUCUGAAAGGAAGAUUAAUACAAGAUGGCAUCAUGAGUUCACAUGUUCACAUGAUUAAAGGUAUUCCGGUAGACGAUGGGG